AAAACGGCAUCGGGGUGCUUCUUUGGAAGCUGAGAUUAUACCCGUGAACCUGAACCGGUUAGGACCGGCGUAGGAAAUGCGACACACUGAAAA
rnacentral:ncRNA from 2 species